rnacentral:rRNA from 1 species
CUACGGGUGGCAGCAGUGGGGAAUAUUGCACAAUGGAGGAAACUCUGAUGCAGCAACGCCGCGUGGAGGAUGACACUUUUCGGAGCGUAAACUCCUUUUAUAUAGGAAGAUAAUGACGGUACUAUAUGAAUAAGCACCGGCUAACUCCGUGCCAGCAGCCGCGGUAAUACGGAGGGUGCAAGCGUUACUCGGAAUCACUGGGCGUAAAGAGCGUGUAGGCGGAUAGAUAAGUCAGGAGUGAAAUCCUAUGGCCCAACCAUAGAACUGCUCUUGAAACUGUCUAUCUAGAAUAUGGGAGAGGUAGAUGGAAUUUCUGGUGUAGGGGUAAAAUCCGUAGAGAUCAGAAGGAAUACCGAUUGCGAAGGCGAUCUACUGGAACAUUAUUGACGCUGAGACGCGAAAGCGUGGGGAGCAAACAGGAUUAGAUACCCCGGUAGUC